rnacentral:rRNA from 1 species
UACGAAGGGGGCUAGCGUUGCUCGGAAUCACUAGGCGUAAAGCGCACGUAGGCGGAUCUUUAAGUCAGGGGUGAAAUCCUGGAGCUCAACUCCAGAACUGCCUUUGAUACUGGGGAUCUCGAGUCCGGGAGAGGUGAGUGGAACUGCGAGUGUAGAGGUGAAAUUCGUAGAUAUUCGCAAGAACACCAGUGGCGAAGGCGGCUCACUGGCCCGGUACUGACGCUGAGGUGCGAAAGCGUGGGGAGCAAACAGG